UAAAGUCGUAAUCGCUUCCUGACUUAGGAUACUUUUUAUUCCUUUUUUUCCUUUCGACAAUGUUUGAAAAAAAUCUGUAUUUAAACACUUUCCACAUAUCAGUAGCAUCGCACUUCAAAAUGAACGCGGUCGUUUUAACCGUUCUCUUCGCCAUUUUCUUGGGGGUCCAUUGUGUCCCCCCUGAAACUGAGGCAGAUGGAGAUGUGGGGUGCCUCCUAAAAGCGAUAAAAGACUUCACACACUGUAUUAAAGGUGUAGAGGCUGUAGAGGGCGAGCAGGUUUCAGAUUUGAACGGGAAUGUGCUGCAAUGUUUGGUGAAGCUUUUCACUGAUUUGUUAGGGUGUUUUAAAAGAUUGUAAGAUUGUUAUGAUGCGAUGCAGCUUUUACUCCCAAAAAUGAAGGCAAUAUUUUUGUUCCAAAAAUAAUCUUAACUAAGUUAAAUGUAUAAUAUCAUAAUAAUGUAUAUAUAACAUUGUAUAUUACCUAGUCGGUUACUAAGUUCCGUUAAUAGGUUUUCAAUUUGAUUAAAUAUAAAAUGAAGCUUAAAAUAAAAAAGUUUAGGCACAGUUUGAUAGCUUAUUUUGCAAUUAUCAAAACGUGAUAUAAUAAUAUAAAAUUCAGAUGAAGAAUUUAUGGGGAUCCUUGGAAAGCUCCAGAUUGCCUGAAGACGUAAACACGCGGUCAAUUUAUGAAAAAUAUACUUUACAAAAGUGUGUCCAAUGCAAUCUUGAAACUUUACCAGAAAGCUCAAUUGCUUGUUUUAAUGAGGCCUCUAUAUUACACCAAAUUUUAUGCCUAGCAGUUUUUUUUAGUACCUAAGAAUACUAGAAUAAAGGGGAAUACCCUUGAAACAUUGCGUAUUUUUCAGUUUCGCACGAAAACGUAUACUUAGGUUUAGACAAUUGUGCAGGAGGCAGGCUUGGAAAACUCUGUAAACUAUGUAGGUAUUUAAUCAAUGAAACCCACUUAAACUAUAUAUUAAAUUAAAGAUAAAUCAAGCUAUCUAAUUGUUCAAAGCUGAUACAUCCUUAAUAUGAUUAGAAAUACAUGGCAUUUAAAAACGAGAUGAACAGGGAGCGUACUUUUGAUGCGUUUUUUUACGCCAUUUUUCCGAGUGCUAUAAGGAAUUCUGCAAAACCAGAACAACAAUGUUUAUUAGGUUGUAUUGUAAGCUGUAUACACGAAUAAUUAAAAAUCGCCACCUAUUUCCUUUUACUCUGUGAAAACUCUGGUAACAGAACUUUUUAAUCAAGUUAACUUAAUUAGUAUGAAAUAAAACUAUGAAAACGGAUUAUAUUGCGUAUAUUGAAUUUAUAUUACAUCCCGACGUUUUAUCGCGUAUAUAUAUAUCUUUACUUGAAAAUAAUUGUAGUGUAUAACUAGCCUUUUGAACCGAUUUUGCAUGUACAACCAGCCUUAAAGUUUGUAGUCUAUGAUUGUUCAUUAUUUUAAUAUUAGGGUAUUUUUGCACUUUGUAAUUUUUCCUCAGUCACCCGUUGACCACGAACGCUGUAAAGGGUUCGAAACGUCGGGAUGUAUUAUAAAUUCAAUAUACGCGAUAUAAUCCGUUUUCAUAGUUUUAUUUCAUGAGUAACUAUCGCGGUAACCGAAGACAAUAUUUUAAUUAGUAUGAUUAUCUACAAAAUAAAAUACUUCUAUUUUUGCAUGUAGUUUGAAUUUAUAUAAUCAGUUAACAAAUUACGUUAUUAUAAGAUAACUUUGAUAACAAAAAUACUUUAUGACGACUGGUCUGGCCUAUAGUGGGUAGUGACCCUGCCUAUGAAGCCGAUGGCCCUGGGUUCGAAUCCCGGUAAGGGCAUUGUGUGAUGAACACAAAUAUUUAUUCUGAGUCAUGGGUGUUUUUUUAUGUAUAUAAGAAUGUAUUUAUCUAUAUAAGCAUGUAUAUCGUCGCGUGACACCCAUAGUACAAGCUUUGCUUAGUUUGGGGCUAGGUUGAUCUAUGUAAGAUGUCCCCUAAUAUAAAAAUAAUAAUAAUAGUCAAAUUAAUAUUAAGAUUUAUAAAGUUCUGCAAAUAACCCACCAUCUUAAAAAUGAUAUCUCCUGCCUUCCUUCGCUUUCCGAAACCCAUUUUCACAUAAAGUCACUAAUUCGAUAAAAAACCUUUCCCCUGCUUUUAGCGUCUGAUUAAAUACGAGCGACCAUCAGCGGCCAUUAUGAAGGGCGGGCGGGAAACCGGCAGCCAUACACGCAGUCACUCUAUGAGGCCAAUUCAAACUUAGGUACAUUGUGACAUCAAAAUGAUUGAAGUUGCAUGCACGCGCAUUUCGCUCCUAGUUGUCUGUACAUGGACCUAAUAGUGAGAACGAGAUGCACGGGCGACUCAGUUCAAGUCAAAGUAAAGUUAUUUUUAUUCAAUUUGUUGAUAUUAAAAACAAUCCAGGUUGCAAAUAGUGAAAGGAAAUAGUUGUAGCAAUUGUAUGCCUCAAGGAAGAUAAUCAAAAAACACAGCAGUGUUUUUAUUAUCACGAAACGAUAAUUACGAAAUUACCUAGUAUCUAGUUACGAAGCGCUUUUUUAUAUCUAAAAAUUAUAAUAUUAAAAAAGUGAUUUUUUUGUAAAAUGAGAUUUGUAGGAGCACUGGGUCGAGCAGGCAAAUGAUAGGCAAUUUUCUAUGGUUUGAAUUUUUGGAAUAUUUAAUUGUAUCCACGAGUUGGAAUAACUAUGUGCUUAAGAGUCACACGAAACUGCCGCCAUAAACCCUCUAAUACAAUCUCAAAUCUCAUUUUAAAAGAACACAUGUAACUUGGCAUGAACAUUUAUGUAAUAUAUAUCUAUGUCUGGUACUAGUUUUUGUUGCUGAAAAAUUGUUAUACAAUAAAAUAAAACAAGUAAGUGGAAAUUUUGUGUGUAAAACUUCUAUUAGCUUCAUUUCUUGAUGAAUGUUCAUGUUAAAUUUAAUCUUAUAUCGGAAUGUCGUUUUAUAGCUUCAAUUGUAUGGCAGCGGCUAGGUUCGUGUGACUCUUAAAAAGGAAAGCUGAUACACUUUUGUAGAGCUGCCGGUAUUGAGCAGCCAAGUCUUAAGAGCCUAUUAACUCGAGUGAUUGGAGCUAAAGCGCCGGCCGCGACUUCUCACUCUGUCUUUACGGGAUCCCAGAUUUACCGUAAAUUACGGAGGUGAACGUUAUAAAAGUACUUGGGAAGCGAUCGAAGAUCAAGGUGUUAUAGGAGUGGAUCAGAUUUUUUGGUGUUGUUAAAAAUACAUAAAUAAAGGGACAAUCUUACACAAAUCGAUGUAGCCCCACAGCCACCCACAGUAUAUAAGCUCAAUAAGGCUUGUGUUGUGGGUAAUACACAACAAUAUUUAUUAUAUUAUUAAUAUUAUUAUGUAUAUAAUAGAUAGCUGAUAUAGAUACAUGCAUAAAAACAUCCAUAACUCAGGAACAAAUUUUUGUGAUGGAAAAACAAAUAAAUGCCCUUACCAGGAUUUGAACCCCCAACCACCACCACCUGUAGGCAGGAUCACUACCGACUGGGCUUCCUAGCCCAAUUGUUGACAGUUGUUGUUAUUUUGUCCCGUUGUCCAGGCGACAAAAAUAUAACUAUGGUUGAUGUAUACAUCAAAUUAUGUAAAAAUAUUUUCCAGAGGAAAAUGUGAACUACAUUUAUAAGAAAAACGGCCAUCCCUUUUCCUCUUAAUUGUUGGUCUGGUGGAAAUUUCACAUAUAAAAUUAUAUAAAUAUCCACAUAAUUUACUAAAACCAUCUUCCAUCAACCAACAGACAUGGUAAACUAAUUAAUCUUGCACAGUACACAGAACAGUAAAUCAACGACCAUCACAUAAAGAAAGGAGAAUUAAUAACCCAUAUAUCUCUUUGUUAAUAUGCAAUUUUUUUCAUAGAUUCAGAUUUAAAAAAUAUAUAGGAAUCGCACUUAAACUAUCGUGAGACAUAUUUCAAAAUAUUUAUCAGUACGGUUACGGUACGAGGCGGGCGGCGCGGGCAGUGCACGACGUACAACCGCCGCGGACACUCGUGCCUGAGGAUGGAUUCCCAAAGAAUCCGAAACAUGUCGCCAAAAGCGACUAAAAAUAAUAGUGAGUAAAAACCGUACUGAUAAAUAUUUUGAUAUAUAGGAAUUUUGCCAUAAUUUUUUACACGAUGUUUUUUGGAAAAUGAGUUCAUUAUUUAUUUUAUUAUGUCUUUCUCAAGUUUCUCAUCACGGAACAAUGGUGUUCCGGACCUUUGGGAGGCGUGCGCGGAGCCAAAGCGAACACGUAGAGGCCCUUUUGACAAAAGUGUCAAUGAAAUCUACGACUAACGGGUACACCGAGCGGAUGCUGCCUUUGCCCGUGUCAUGUGACACACGCAGAGGCAGCACCCGCCAGGGUGUAAGGACUAUUGAGAGUUGAUGGAAUCUACAAUGAACUAGGUUAUUGGGUGAAAGCGAUGGACCAAGUACGGAGCUAUGGGAUAAAAAACCGGACGCCUGCCUAAUAAAACGGCAUGCAAUUUUAUUUCCGGCAGACGGUGGCUCGCCCUCACAAGAUGGGCCCCCACAAAAAGCGACAUCUAGGAUGGCUCAAGGGCAACACCGGUGUGAGCGGCUCAGGGGUGUCGAGAGGUGUACGCCGCUUUCUACCCAGUGGCUGUUAACAGCUACUGUGCCAACUCACGUCUUAUGCAUAUUUCACUUCCACCCCUGGACCUUCUAACGAUUCCACUCUGGCCGGCCGGUUAAGGCAAGCCAGAGGCAGAGAAUCCUGUCCCGCCCACCCUCCUUGCGGGUAACAGAACUCCCCAGGAGCACUCGGGUACGUGGGGUCGCUACUCCCCAACAGCUCGCCACAAGCUGCUCUGCGUUA